AAUGGACUGUGGUCUGUUACAAUAGGAGCCAGGGGUUAGCUGAAGGGAAUGGACUGUGGUCUGUUACAAUAGGAGCCAGGGGUUAGCUGAAGGGAAUGGACUGUGGUCUGUUAAAAUAGGAGCCAGGGGUUAGCUGAAGGGAAUGGACUGUGGUCUGUUACAAUAGGAGCCAGGGGUUAGCUGAAGGGAAUGGACUGUGGUCUGUUACAAUAGGAGCCAGGGGUUAGCUGAAGGGAAUGGACUGUGGUCUGUUACAAUAGGAGCCAGGGGUUAGCUGAAGGGAAUGGACUGUGGUCUGUUAUGAUAGGAGCCAGGGGUUAGCUGAAGGGAAUGGACUGUGGUCUGUUACAAUAGGAGCCAGGGGUUAGCUGAAGGGAAUGGACUGUGGUCUGUUAUGAUAGGAGCCAGGGGUUAGCUGAAGGGAAUGGACUGUGGUCUGUUAUGAUAGGAGCCAGGGGUUAGCUGAAGGGAAUGGACUGUGGUCUGUUAUGAUAGGAGCCAGGGGUUAGCUGAAGGGAAUGGACUGUGGUCUGUUAUGAUAGGAGCCAGGGGUUAGCUGAAGGGAAUGGACUGUGGUCUGUUAUGAUAGGAGCCAGGGGUUAGCUGAAGGGAAUGGACUGUGGUCUGUUAUGAUAGGAGCCAGGGGUUAGCUGAAGGGAAUGGACUGUGGUCUGUUACAAUAGGAGCCAGGGGUUAGCUGAAGGGAAUGGACUGUGGUCUGUUAUGAUAGGAGCCAGGGGUUAGCUGAAGGGAAUGGACUGUGGUCUGUUACAAUAGGAGCCAGGGAUUAGUGGAAGGGAAUGGACUGUGGUCUGUUACAAUAGGAGCCAGGGAUUAGUGGAAGGGAAUGGACUGUGGUCUGUUACAAUAGGAGCCAGGGGUUAGCUGAAGGGAAUGGACUGUGGUCUGUUACAAUAGGAGCCAGGGAUUAGUGGAAGGGAAUGGACUGUGGUCUGUUACAAUAGGAGCCAGGGAUUAGUGGAAGGGAAUGGACUGUGGUCUGUUAUGAUAGGAGCCAGGGGUCAGUGGCCUCGAAAAAUGGCUCAAAAAGACUAACCAGCCACAGUAGUGUUGUCCAGACCAAGACCACACUUAAACAAUCAGGCAUUUGUGUUUCCUGCCACCCUUCACUGCUCCCUGCCUCCCUGGCAUACCCUGUGUUUCCUUCACUGCUCCGUCCCUCACCUCUCCCUCCAUGCUGCCAGGCUUAAAUAAAAGUGUUUCAAGUCUAGAGUCUAAGGUUCUUCAUCCCCUCCUCUUAUUGAUAUGCUCCUACCUCUUAAACUCUGCCGCCAUGUUGUCUCUCUUCUCUACCUUCUAGUAUUGAUAUUUUCAUGCUGACUUGUCUUCUGAACUUACUAACUGCAUGCCAACCCCCCUCCCACAGCCCCACUGCAAACGACUUUCUACUCCAGCUCAUCCCUAUACUGUCCAAAUUCCUUACGCAAGAGUUAACCAGCAUCUUUGUUCUUUCAUCCCUCACGCUGGUAAACUCUGGAACAAUCUUCAUUUAUCUGUAUUUCCUCCUGCCUACGACUUGAACUCUUUCAAGAGGAGAGUAUCAGGACACUUCUCUUCCCAAAAUCGACCUUUCUUUCGGACACUCUUCUGAACUCUUUUUUAUAGGAGCAGUGAGAAGCAGGCUUUUUUUCAUUAUUUUUUUUUCCCCUUGAACAGUUUCCUUUGCUGUAAAAAUAAAUAAAUAAAUAAAAAAUCAGCCUCAAAACUUAAUCCGAUACAUCAUCAUGCUCUUGGC